UGGCCGAGUUGGUCUAAGGCGUCGGUCUCAAGAUCCGAUCUCGAAAGAGGCGUGAGUUCGAAUCUC